UGAACGCUAGCUACAGGCUUAACACAUGCAAGUCGAGGGGCAUCAGGAAGAAAGCUUGCUUUCUUUGCUGGCGACCGGCGCACGGGUGAGUAACACGUAUCCAACCUGCCCUUUACUCGGGGAUAGCCUUUCGAAAGAAAGAUUAAUACCCGAUAGCAUAAUGAUUCCGCAUGGUUUCAUUAUUAAAGGAUUCCGGUAAAGGAUGGGGAUGCGUUCCAUUAGGUUGUUGGUGAGGUAACGGCCCACCAAGCCUUCGAUGGAUAGGGGUUCUGAGAGGAGGGUCCCCCACAUUGGAACUGAGACACGGUCCAAACUCCUACGGGAGGCAGCAGUGAGGAAUAUUGGUCAAUGGGCGCUAGCCUGAACCAGCCAAGUAGCGUGAAGGAUGAAGGCUCUAUGGGUCGUAAACUUCUUUUAUAUAAGAAUAAAGUGCAGUAUGUAUACUGUUUUGUAUGUAUUAUAUGAAUAAGGAUCGGCUAACUCCGUGCCAGCAGCCGCGGUAAUACGGAGGAUCCGAGCGUUAUCCGGAUUUAUUGGGUUUAAAGGGAGCGUAGGUGGACUGGUAAGUCAGUUGUGAAAGUUUGCGGCUCAACCGUAAAAUUGCAGUUGAUACUGUCAGUCUUGAGUACAGUAGAGGUGGGCGGAAUUCGUGGUGUAGCGGUGAAAUGCUUAGAUAUCACGAAGAACUCCGAUUGCGAAGGCAGCUCACUGGACUGCAACUGACACUGAUGCUCGAAAGUGUGGGUAUCAAACAGGAUUAGAUACCCUGGUAGUCCACACAGUAAACGAUGAAUACUCGCUGUUUGCGAUAUACAGUAAGCGGCCAAGCGAAAGCAUUAAGUAUUCCACCUGGGGAGUACGCCGGCAACGGUGAAACUCAAAGGAAUUGACGGGGGCCCGCACAAGCGGAGGAACAUGUGGUUUAAUUCGAUGAUACGCGAGGAACCUUACCCGGGCUUAAAUUGCAGUGGAAUGAUGUGGAAACAUGUCAGUGAGCAAUCACCGCUGUGAAGGUGCUGCAUGGUUGUCGUCAGCUCGUGCCGUGAGGUGUCGGCUUAAGUGCCAUAACGAGCGCAACCCUUAUCUUUAGUUACUAACAGGUUAUGCUGAGGACUCUAGAGAGACUGCCGUCGUAAGAUGUGAGGAAGGUGGGGAUGACGUCAAAUCAGCACGGCCCUUACGUCCGGGGCUACACACGUGUUACAAUGGGGGGGUACAGAAGGCAGCUAGCGGGUGACCGUAUGCUAAUCCCAAAAUCCUCUCUCAGUUCGGAUCGAAGUCUGCAACCCGACUUCGUGAAGCUGGAUUCGCUAGUAAUCGCGCAUCAGCCACGGCGCGGUGAAUACGUUCCCGGGCCUUGUACACACCGCCCGUCAAGCCAUGGGAGCCGGGGGUACCUGAAGUACGUAACCGCAAGGAUCGUCCUAGGGUAAAACUGGUG
rnacentral:rRNA from 1 species